UAGGGAAUCUUCCACAAUGGGCGAAAGCCUGAUGGAGCAACGCCGCGUGGGUGAAGAAGGUCUUCGGAUCGUAAAACCCUGUUGUUAGAGAAGAAAAGUGCGUGAGAGUAACUGUUCACGUUUCGACGGUAUCUAACCAGAAAGCCACGGCUAACUACGUGCC
rnacentral:rRNA from 1 species